UAACCCGGAGGAGAGACGAAACAGGAUUUCCUCUCCCUGCGGUUCACAACGACGACUUGAGGGAGGCAGGGUCCCUAUGAGCCGAGGCGGCUGGCCGUGUCGUGCUUUGUCAACUGCACACCUCACCCUGAGUUUACGGUCGUUGCAAGCUGCGUCAGUCGGCGAAACUAAGCUGUAAGGAGUAGCCCCGUUCAACAGCGUGACGAAACACCGUCUCCAACUUCACCACCCCAGCUAGGUUACAGCACUGCAGAAAACCCAGGGAAAUGCAACAACUCCUCUAACAGGCGCUGUACAAUCCUGCAAACCUUCGUCCAGGGAAGACACGUAUACUAUCGUGGACGAGCAAUCUCUGAAAUUCAGCCUCCCUGUAACAGCACGCCUCAGUGCUGAGAGAGAAGCUCAGCAAUGCCAUUUAAA